rnacentral:rRNA from 1 species
CCUACGGGAGGCAGCAGUGGGGAAUUUUGGACAAUGGGCGCAAGCCUGAUCCAGCAAUGCCGCGUGAGUGAAGAAGGCCUUCGGGUUGUAAAGCUCUUUUGUCAGGGAAGAAACGGUGGUUCCUAAUACGGACUACUAAUGACGGUACCUGAAGAAUAAGCACCGGCUAACUACGUGCCAGCAGCCGCGGUAAUACGUAGGGUGCAAGCGUUAAUCGGAAUUACUGGGCGUAAAGCGUGCGCAGGCGGUUAUAUAAGUCAGAUGUGAAAUCCCCGGGCUCAACCUGGGAACUGCAUUUGAGACUGUAUGGCUAGAGUGUGUCAGAGGGGGGUAGAAUUCCACGUGUAGCAGUGAAAUGCGUAGAUAUGUGGAGGAAUACCGAUGGCGAAGGCAGCCCCCUGGGAUAACACUGACGCUCAUGCACGAAAGCGUGGGGAGCAAACAGGAUUAGAUACCCUGGUAGUCCACGCCCUAAACGAUGUCUACUAGUUGUCGGGACUUAAUUGUCUUGGUAACGCAGCUAACGCGUGAAGUAGACCGCCUGGGGAGUACGGUCGCAAGAUUAAAACUUAAAGGAAAUUGACGG